rnacentral:rRNA from 1 species
GGGGAUAUUGCACAAUGGGGGAAACCCUGAUGCAGCAACGCCGCGUGAGUGAAGAAGGUCUUCGGAUUGUAAAGCUCUGUUCUUGGUGAAGAUAAUGACGGUAGCCAAGGAGAAAGCUCCGGCUAACUACGUGCCAGCAGCCGCGGUAAUACGUAGGGAGCGAGCGUUGUCCGGAAUUACUGGGUGUAAAGGGAGCGUAGGCGGGACGGCAAGUCAGAUGUGAAAACUGAGGGCUCAACCUUCAGACUGCAUUUGAAACUGCUGUUCUUGAGUGAAGUAGAGGUAAGCGGAAUUCCUAGUGUAGCGGUGAAAUGCGUAGAUAUUAGGAGGAACAUCGGUGGCGAAGGCGGCUUACUGGGCUUUUACUGACGCUGAGGCUCGAAAGCGUGGGGAGCAAACAGG